rnacentral:rRNA from 1 species
AAUAGAUACCCUGGUAGUCCCAGCUGUAAACGAUGCAGACUCGGUGAUGCAUUGGCUUGUGGCCAAUGCAGUGCCGCAGGGAAGCCGUUAAGUCUGCCGCCUGGGAAGUACGUACGCAAGUAUGAAACUUAAAGGAAUUGGCGGGGGAGCACCACAAGGGGUGAAGCCUGCGGUUCAAUUGGAGUCAACGCCAGAAAUCUUACCCGGGGCGACAGCAGAAUGAAGGUCAAGCUGAAGACUUUACCAGACAAGCUGAGAGGUGGUGCAUGGCCGUCGCCAGCUCGUGCCGUGAGAUGUCCUGUUAAGUCAGGUAACGAGCGAGACCCCUGCGUCUAGUUGCUACCAUUCCUCUCUGGAGUAGUGGAGCGAAUUAGACGGACCGCCACAGUUAAUGUGGAGGAAGGAAGGGGCCACGGCAGGUCAGUAUGCCCCGAAACCCUGGGGCCACACGCGGGCUGCAAUGGUAUUGACAAUGUGUUCCGAACCCGAAAGGGGUAGGCAAUCAUCAAACGAUACCACAGUU